rnacentral:rRNA from 1 species
AUGGCAGCGACGGCCGCCGCUAGGGGCGCCGCUUCUCGCUCCCCUCUCCUCCUCCACCACCACCGACUCCCUCAGGUUCCAGCCGGUGGGGGAGGUUCGCUGAGGGUGGGCGCGCUCGGGGCAGGACGGGAUUGGAGACGACGGGUCCGGGUUCGGGUCGGGGUUAGGGUUUUCGCGCGCUACUCCUCCCAGUCACAAGACUUCUCCAGUCGACUCCAAGAUAGAGCUGGCGAAUUGCCGAAAUUAGUCGAGGAUCUUCUCCAGACGUCGAUUAGCACAGGGCCUCGAGGUGCCUUUAGGAUGGCGCAAGGGAUCCAAGCUCUCCUUGGGGUUGGUGGGGAGUGGCUAAACGACUUCUCGAAGACAGCUAACACGUCAGAAGGAAUUCCAGCUCAGAUGCGGCUUGGUUUGCUUUCCCCUCUUUAUCUCAGAAGGCUUUUUGAACGCAUGGGUGCAACUUAUAUAAAGCUAGGUCAGUUCAUAGCGUCUGCACCAACUUUCUUUCCUGCAGAAUAUGUUGAAGAAUUCCAGAACUGUUUUGACCGAGCACCACCUGUUCCUUAUAGCGAGAUCGAGUCGAUAUUGCAUGAGGAGUUGCAGCGGCCAUUGGAUAGUGUUUAUGAGUACAUUGAUCCCGUGCCAAUAGCAUCUGCUUCAAUAGCACAGGUUCAUGGGGCUAGGUUGAAGAGCUCUCAGAAGGAUGUGGUAAUUAAAGUCCUGAAACCUGGAAUUGAAGAUACUUUGGUUGCCGAUCUGAAUUUUAUCUAUCUUGUUGCACGUGUUUUGGAGUUUCUAAGCCCUGAAUUAGAGAGGACAUCACUGGUAGCUAUCAUCAAGGACAUAAAGGAAUCAAUGCUUGAGGAAGUUGAUUUUAGAAAGGAGGCUGUAAAUAUGGAGGCUUUCCAGAGAUACAUCGAAGCAAUGGGAUUUGAUAGGCAGGCCAAAUCUCCAUUUGUAUAUCACCACUGUAGCACAAAGCGUGUCUUAACUAUGGAAAGAUUGUAUGGUGUUCCACUCACCGAUCUUGAUUCUAUAAGGUCUCUUGUUCCUGAUCCUGAGUUGACUUUAGUCACUGCGCUCAAUGUCUGGUUUGGAAGCUUGAUCUCAUGUGAAUCCUUCCAUGCGGAUGUGCAUGCAGGAAACCUAUGGUUGCUUCGUGAUGGACGUGUUGGAUUUAUUGAUUUUGGAAUUGUUGGUCGAAUAUCCCCAAGGACUUGGGCUGCUAUGGAGAUCUUUUUGGCUUCUUUCGCAACUGAGGAUUACAAUGCUAUGGCAUCAGCCCUUUCCGAAAUGGGUGCUACAGGGAAUGAUAUAGAUGUUGACUCCUUUGCAAAGGACUUGCAAAAGAUAUUCUCAUCGUUACAGCAGGAGCUGGACACUGAAAUUAUAGUGGCAGCUGCAAGAAGUUCUGAUGCUACAGCUGUAUCUGCUAAUGUUGUUGUAGACGAGAGGCAGAUGAAUGCACUGUUUCUUGAUCUGGUAAGGGUUAGCGAGUCAUAUGGGCUGAAAUUUCCUAGGGAAUUCGCUCUUCUCAUGAAGCAGCUUCUUUAUUUUGACCGGUACACAAGACUGCUGGCUCCCAGCAUGAACAUGCUGCGAGAUGAGAGGAUUAACAUUACUUCCAACAAGCAGACAAGAAGAAUGAAUUGA